AUAUUAAUAAGCGGAGGAAAAGAAACUAACAAGGAUUCCCCUAGUAAUUGCGAGUGAAGCGGGAAAAGCUCAAAUUUAAAAUCUGACAGUUUCACUGUCCGAGUUGUAAUCUGGAGAAGCAUUUUCCGUGUCGGACCGUGUACAAGUCUCUUGGAAUAGAGCGUCAUAGAGGGUGAGAAUCCCGUCCAUGACACGGACUACCGAUGCUUUGUGAUAUGCUCUCGAAGAGUCGAGUUGUUUGGGAAUGCAGCUCAAAAUGGGUGGUAAAUUCCAUCUAAAGCUAAAUAUUGGUGAGAGACCGAUAGCGCACAAGUA
rnacentral:rRNA from 1 species